rnacentral:rRNA from 1 species
UACAUAGGGUGCGAGCGUUAAUCGGAUUUACUGGGCGUAAAGCGUGCGUAGGCGGUUGGGUAAGUCGGAUGUGAAAGCCCUGGGCUUAACCUGGGAAUGCCAUUCGAUACUGCCCGACUCGAGUUCGGUAGAGGGCGGUGGAACUCCAGGUGUAGCGGUGAAAUGCGUAGAUAUCUGGAAGAACACCAAUGGCGAAGGCAACCGCCUGGGCCUGAACUGACGCUGAGGCACGAAAGCGUGGGGAUCAAACAGG